ensembl:lncRNA
GUAGGAUGUUUCUUAAUUAGCUUUUCCGGGCUGAUCCAUCACCGUGACAUUCAGCAGAGCCUCGCAGAGGAGACGAUGCGGACACAUGACUGAGAAGGUCAGGUGUCCCGCCACUCUGCCGUCCACCAAUCACAUGCUCAAAUUGAAAUGUUCCUUUGACGUCUUGAUGAACGACCCCAAGCUGAGCUGAGCACACUCCCACAGGCGCCAUGGGGCGGCCAUCUUCAAGGUUGUCCUGACGACCGCGUCGCCGUGGACCAGAGCCCCAGGCUUCGCGGACAAGGCCGAGCCGGCUCCUUGACGGACUCGAUGGAUAAUUACUUUAAAGAGCCGCGCAGCGCUUCAAAGGACGCACUGUCAUCUGUGAUAUUUAUGAAGGGGAGUCGGCGAUCCGCGGUGCAUCCCAAAG